rnacentral:lncRNA from 1 species
ACGCACUUAAUCAUGUUUUCAUGGUUCUAAUCUGCCCUUAAUUAUUAUGACAAAAAUUCAAGGAGAUUUGGACAACAGAAAAGUGAUAGAUAAAGCCAUCCACUUUCCACAAUAUUGUUCGUACAUGAACGACAAAACACAUUACGGAUUGUGAAUAAUUCACAUUUAUUCAAUAAUAUUUUUACAUAAAAUAAAUAUUAUAUAUCUUAUUGAAAUGUAGAACUACCGAAUAAUUAUCAAAUUCAUAUUAAUCAAUAGAUUUAUUGGUAGUUGCUACAAUUUUGAUGAGAAGAAUCGAAGCUAGGGUUGUGCCAGGCGAGCAGCCGCAGCCAGGGCAUCAUGGCAGCACCUUGGGUCGAAAUUGAACUCAUGAUCGCAGCAUCGGGGCAGACCAUAUGCGUGGCUACCUUUCAACAAAGCCAUGGCAACCAUGACUAGUAAAGCCAAGAAAACCAUCUUCUUCAUAACCAAUCCUUCCAUUUUGACGCUCCUAAUUCAGUAUUUGUUUUUCACUCUCUCUUCUUCCUU